UACGUAGGGUGCGAGCGUUGUCCGGAUUUAUUGGGCGUAAAGAGCUCGUAGGCGGCUUGUCACGUCGGUUGUGAAAGCCCGGGGCUUAACCCCGGGUCUGCAGUCGAUACGGGCAGGCUAGAGUUCGGUAGGGGAGAUCGGAAUUCCUGGUGUAGCGGUGAAAUGCGCAGAUAUCAGGAGGAACACCGGUGGCGAAGGCGGAUCUCUGGGCCGAUACUGACGCUGAGGAGCGAAAGCGUGGGGAGCGAACAGG
rnacentral:rRNA from 1 species